ACCUGGCUGGCUUAGUGUGUAGAGCAUGCAACUUUUGAUCACGGGGUUGUGGAUUUGAGUCCCAUGUUGGGUG
rnacentral:tRNA from 1 species